GAUUUCUGAACGAAGUUUCCCUGUAGCGCGUCAGCAAACUUGCGGCUCUGAUUCUGUGUGAUAGAGUUGGGGGCGGUCAGCUCCCUUUGCUGUUUGUUUCAGAACAAAGGAAAUGCUGAUGUGCGGUGUUCGUUCUGACGACGCAGUGGAAAGUUGGUGACCGUACAGACACCGAGUGGUCCCUGGUUCCUCGCCGCUUGCCUUUUCUCCUCCUUUAAAAAAAAAAGAUUUUCAAGGCACGGAACAGCUAGUACAGGAGAAAUGAAUGAAACAAAAAGGUGUUUUUAGCUCAAACAGAACAGAAUGCCACGCUCAUGUGCCUGGCACAGGUAGGGGGAGAAGAGGGGGGCGCGGCUUUGCCUUCGGCCCUUCCCCACCCCUGCACGCCGCCUUCUGAGUGCUGAGCGACCCUGCGGGCACAGAGCGGCCAGAGGCAGGGGCAGGGUGGAGGCCAGGCUGGGGAGAGGGCUGGCAGUGCCCCUGCCCUGUGAACCUCUCAGGCCCUCCGCGUCCACCCCGCAGCUGCGGUCUCCGCCUCUCCCCCUCCCCAGGACCGUCGCGGGGGUGGGGGGCAGCCUGAGUGUGGGCCCCACCUGCACUGUGCUCAUUCCUGACAUUCUGAUCUGAGAUCUUUGGCUGCUUCUGGAAACCAGGAAUUCCGAAACAUGGGGAGGCGCGGCUCACAAGCGAGGCAUCGAGAAGGAAAACGGGCUGAGAUUCGGGCCCUGGCUGCCCCCUCCGGUCACGUGGCCCCAGGAGAGCCCGACAGAGCCCACCAGGGGUAAACCGAGGGCAUUUCAGUACAGCGUGAGGUUUAAGGUCGUUUUUUCAAAAUGGUGAUGAAAAGGAAACUUGUUAGAUGAGAGGACAAAAAUUUUACUUUACAAAGGACCCUGACUGAUGAGUUCAUUUGCAAACUUGUUCAUAAUUAACCACGAGGUCUGCCUGCAGUGGUGGGAACCCCCUGGUGGCCGUGGGCCGACGCCGUGAGCCGAGGGGAGAGUGUGUGUCUGUGCUUUCCACAGCUUAGAUUUUAAGUGUGAAAAAACACGAGUUUUCGUUUCACUCAGUCCCAGAUCUGCACGUAGAGGGGGUUCGGGUGUGUGUGCACGUGCGCGUGUCCUGCACAUGAAUCCCAGAGUGAGGUCAGAAUUCAGACUUACACACAAGUUUCAGGAAAGAAAGCGUAAUUUCCACCUUGGGAGCACUUUAGAGAAAACUUAAAUAUAAGGGGAAAAACCUUUCUCAUUAAAUUAAAUUGUGGUGGGACAGCUCACCACAUCCUGUCGCAGGGACAUCUGACACUAAGCAAAGUGAAGGUUCCUCUUUCAGGUCCUGACAAGCUGUGCGGGUCACAUGUUCCCUGCAGUUCGGAAUACUUGCACAGAGAAAACACCCUGAGUGUCGGUGGAAAAGCUGAAGAGGAAGAUGGAAAGUAUCAGCAGGGAGAUGACACUGUGGGAAGCCGAGAGCCGCCCCCAGAGCAACCGGCACAGCCCCGGGGGCGGCCGUGGGCCCGCGGGGACCCGGAACUGUGACCUCACGGAAGACAAGUGGGAGGCCGUGGCCGGGGCGAGGGGACGCGGCGUGCCCGGCCCCGGCCCGAGGUCCCCUGGGGCCGCCGUGGCCAAGACGCAGACUGUGUCCUUGGGAGAGAGCGUGGCCACACGCUGGUCCCGUCCUCAGUUGUGCGGCGGUGCUGUGCCGGUGGCCUGGUCCCCCUGCCCCUCCUGUCAGCUGCUGCCACCCCGCGCGACCCCUGGGAACCUUAGGGCAGGUCCGAGGGGCACUUGUGCACGUGUGGUGUCCCGAGUGCAAUGCUUAGGGGUCAGACUCGUUGUGACGCUACCUGACAGUGCCAAGCCUGGACCACAGGGGCGUUGGGUGACCUGCCACUCGCUUCCAGCCAGCGGAAGGGACACGGGCAGGGCCAGUGACUUGUCCGAACCCGUGGACCCAAGGGAUGGCCCGGGAGCACCACCCUCCCCGCUCUCCGGGGCCCUCCCGCCGGCCUGGGUGGGGUCGGGCGCCGGGACCCAGGAGCCCCUGGACCACGCGGGGCGCGCCGAGUGAUUUCCCCGCCCCCACCCACCUCGGGCGCCCCCCUCAAGGCUCAGUAAAUGAGGUCAUCCGAAACGAUCUCUCCGGCACCAACCUCUGACCGCAGCUGCCCCCACGGAACCCGCCCCGAAGCCGCUGCUGCGCCCUCGGCCGCGGACCGUUGAGCUCCGGCACCAGGACUUCAGGUGGACUGAGCGGACCCCGACCCCGUGAAGAUUUGCGUUGUGUGCUCGCGGAAGCUGCCCUGCGGCCGGGGGCCGGGCCACGCCUCCCGCGCCAAGGCCCAGGGGGCGGCGGGCGGGCGGCUCUCACCGGGGCGCUCCUGCGCCGCAAGUGCCUUGUCACCCGGACGCCGGCAUCAGGAGCCGCGGGCGUGCAGAGCCUGCUGCCCGGGCAGUAGACGUAGGAGCAGCAGCUGCACAGACCCUUGGCCACGAGGCCUCCUCUCCCGUCGGUCAGGAGGAGUCGGGGGAGCGGGGCCGGCAGGGCGAGCGGAGCCUCACGCGUGAGUCUGCGUUGGCCCUGCUUCCUCGGGCCGUGGCGUACAGCCUGCCGCCUUGCUCAGUGCGUCUUCGAGCUCUUGUUUUGUCCUUGCUCUGGUCCCCUGCGCCCUCCCCCGAGUCCCCGGAGCCACGGGACUGCUCCUCGUAGCAUUCGAGGGUUCUGUUUGUAAUCCGGCUUUGAGCGUAGCGCAGGUAAGCUGAUCGCACACGAGAGGUCGCGGGCCAAAACAGGACGUCGGUCUGCCACAGGGCGGGCCUCGCGUUCGCACGCGUGUACAGGUCCGGCACGUGUUCGUGUCCAUGUAAUCAUGACAGGUGCCGUGAGGUCCAGCCUUGGCCCGGCAGGGCUGCCGCGUCGGCAGUAACCAGCAUCCACUCUGGAAGAUGCAUCUGAGACCAAACCCGGCUUCCCAGCCACGUGCCCCGGGCCCCGGCCCCGGGCCUCCGCCGUCUCGUGUGGUGCCGUCCCGCGCUCUCUGGAAAGCCCGGAGAGCCGUGUUCUCAGCACCUGGGUUGACAGAUGGCCAAUGGAACAGUCACUGUAAAUAACAUCACAAAAGGAGUGUAACGUAUUUGUUCGGCUGUAAGAUUACUUCACAGGAGCCUUAUAAGUCUGCUUCAUCUAAGACCACGAUUACCAAAAACGUCGUAACACGCAGCGGCCAUAGUCUGUGUUCCGAGUAGUUAACAGAUAGGCUAGCGUAAGCUUCACUACUGCGUCUGUACAGUUAACAGCUAGCAGUGACCUGUCCCACAUAACCGGAACGCGUGGUCUCAUUAAAACAUGGCUCACCUAAUGAUUGUGCCUUAGGAAUUCAUGCCCCCUCAUGGAACACGCCAGAAUUGCACCUGCCGGCAGAGGUCCUAAGUUACAAUAAUGACACGGAAGGUCAUGGUGGAGAACUCUCUCCCACAGAAAUAAGGACGUUGAAACUCUUCUUCCGUGCGGUUGUGUCUGGUUCUUGUCUGACUCCCAGAAAGGACGCAGCCCUGAAAGCCACGCCCGUAGCUAUGCAUGGCGGCCCUGGCUCUGCGUGGACGUGACCGUGCCUCUCGCUGGCUGCUGCCCUGCCCGGGGCCCUGGACCCCACAGGGAGCGCCCGGGGCUCGCAGGAAACGCAGCUCGGUGGGCCGCGUCCCGAGGGAAGGAGACGUGUGGUAUUUGCGUCAGCUAUCUGUACUUAGGAAAUAGACCCAAUAAAGCAAUACUUUUUUUGCUGGACAA